UACGUAGGGAGCAAGCGUUGUCCGGAAUCAUUGGGCGUAAAGCGCGCGUAGGCGGCCCUGUAAGUCCGUUGUGAAAGUCAAAGGCUCAACCUUUGAAAGCCGAUGGAUACUGCAGGGCUAGAGUCCGGAAGAGGCGAGUGGAAUUCCUGGUGUAGCGGUGAAAUGCGCUGAUAUCAGGAGGAACACCUAUUGCGAAGGCAGCUCGCUGGGACGUAACUGACGCUGAGACGCGAAAGCGUGGGGAGCAAACAGG
rnacentral:rRNA from 1 species